GACGAACGCUGGCGGCGUGCUUAACACAUGCAAGUCGAACGCUGAAGCUCAGCUUUUGUUGGGUGGAUGAGUGGCGAACGGGUGAGUAACACGUGAGUAACCUGCCCCCUUCUUUGGGAUAACGCCCGGAAACGGGUGCUAAUACUGGAUAUUCACUGGUCUUCGCAUGGGGGUUGGUGGAAAGGGUUUUUCUGGUGGGGGAUGGGCUCGCAGCCUAUCGGCUUGUUGGUGGGGUGAUGGCCUACCAAGGCUUUGACGGGUAGCCGGCCUGAGGUGGUGACCGGUCUCAUGGGGACUGAGAUACGUCCCAGACUCCUACGGGGUGCAGCAUUGGGGAAUAUUGAACAAUGGGCGCAAGCCUGAUGCGGCGGCGCUGCGUGAGGGAUGGAGGCCUUCGGGUUGUGAACCUCUUUCGCUCAUGGUCCAGCCGCAACAAUGGUUGUGGUGAGGGUAGUGGGUAAAGAAGCGCCGGCUAACUACGUG
rnacentral:rRNA from 1 species